CAUAAACCCACCGGAACGGGAGGCGGAACAAACCGAACCGCCCCCUCCCCGGGGCCGGCGGAGAAAAGGGAGGAUUCCGCCUUGUCCCCUCCCGUUCCUGCCUUGUCCCCUCCUCUGCUCGCUCCGGUCGGCGGGGCCGGGUUAAGGGGGGGGGGGGGCGGCUCUCCGGCCCCGCCGCAUCCCCGCCGCAGCGGAAGCCGCACCCGCCGGGGCCGGGGCCGGACCCCCCCCCCGCCACGCUCCGUUCCCCGUCCCAGCCGCCAUGAACCCGCUCUUCGGCCCCAACCUCUUCCUCCUGCCGCAGGAACAGCAGGGGCUACCGGGCCCGGAGCUAUCAUCGCCGCCGCCCGCCCCUCGGCCCGCCGAGCCCCUCGGGGGGGAGCUGGCCGCUUCCCCCCCCCCCGCCGGUCCUUUCCCCGCUCCCCCCGCCGCCAUGGCCCUCCGCAACGACCUGGGCUCCAACAUCAGCGUCCUGAAGACGCUGAACCUGCGGUUCCGUUGCUUCCUGGCCAAGGUCCACGAACUGGAGCGGCGGAACCGGCAGCUGGAGAAGCAGCUGCAGCAGGCGCUGGAGGAAGGCGCCGGAGCCGGGGGGGGGAACCGGGGCCGCGGACCCCCCCGCCGCGAUCAGGCGGUGCAGACCGGCUUCGUCGGUCCCAUCCGGAGCCUGGGCUUGGGGCUGGGGCUGGGCUUGGGGCUGAGCCCGGCCCGGACGCUGGGUUCUCCCGGCUGCCGGCCCGGUGCCCCCGGCCAGCCGCCUCCCCCCUUCCCGGCCGCCUCCCGCUUCAUGCCCGGCACCAUCUGGUCCUUCUCGCAAGCCCGACGCUUGGGCCCGGGGCCGGAGACCACCCUGGUGCAAGGACCGGGGGUCUCCUGGGUCCACCCGGACGGGGUGGGCGUGCAGAUCGACACCAUCACCCCGGAGAUCCGGGCCCUCUACAACGUGCUGGCCAAGGUGAAGCGGGAGCGCGACGAGUACAAGCGCAGAUGGGAAGAGGAGUACACGGUGCGUGUCCAGCUUCAGGACCGGGUGACCGAGCUGCAGGAGGAAGCCCAGGAGGCUGAAGCCUGCCAGGAGGAGCUGGCCAUGAAGGUGGAGCAGCUCAAGGCAGAGCUCGUCGUCUUCAAGGGACUGAUGAGCAACAACAUCACGGAGCUGGACACCAAGAUCCAGGAGAAGGCCAUGAAGGUGGACAUGGACAUCUGCCGGCGCAUCGACAUCACUGCCAAGCUGUGCGACGUGGCGCAGCAGCGGAACUGCGAGGACAUGAUCAAGAUGUUUCAGAAGCAACUGUCUCUGCACUUGUCUCCCGUUAAGGUCCCAGCCUCGGUGGGGCGGAAGCGGGAGCGCAAGCAGGUCAGCGACGAAGACACCUCGCUGUCGGAGAGCGAUGCCUCCCGAAAACCCGAAGAGGAAGAGGAGGACGAGACCACGGCCAUGAGUAUCAAUGAGGAAAUGCAAAGGAUGCUGAACCAGCUGAGGGAAUAUGACUUUGAGGAUGACUGUGACAGCCUCACGUGGGAGGAGACAGAAGAAACGCUGCUCCUCUGGGAGGACUUCUCCGGAUACGCCAUUGCAGCCGCAGAGGCGCAGGGGGAGCAGGACGACAGCCUGGAGAAGGUGAUCAAGGACACAGAGUCGCUGUUCAAGAGCCGUGAGAAGGAGUACCAGGAAACCAUCGACCAAAUAGAGCUGGAGCUGGCCACGGCCAAGAACGACAUGAACCGGCACCUGCACGAGUACAUGGAGAUGUGCAGCAUGAAGCGAGGCUUGGACGUGCAGAUGGAGACGUGCCGGCGACUCAUCACCCAGUCUGGGGACAGAAAGUCUCCUGCCUUCACCCCGGCCUCCAACAGCGAGUCGGCCCCGAAUGAGGAGAGCGAGGAGUCCGACCGCGACCCACCCAGCGACGCUUCCAUCAGAUAAUGAGGGGAGGCCCUGCUCCCUCGGACCCCCUUGCUGGCACGCCUGGGAGAGACUGUCAGGGACGUGGAGCCGCUGCAUUUUCUGCUCUUUCUCUGCUGCGGAGAUCUCUGUGAGUGGCUGGCUAAGUCUGGCUUCCCCCGUGCAUAAUCCAUGACAUGUGUACCUCGGCUUCUCAGUACUGCUUAAGAAACCCACAGGACUGUAGAGCACGUACCCUGAGAGAUUUCAAGCAUGAAGCACGCAAGGACCGACAUCUCUGCCUCGAGCAGUCAUUGCCCAGAGGAGCAGCUGGUGCUGCCAGACGUUGGUGUGCCAGGACACGUGGGGACCCCAGUCCCGCACCGCUUCUCAGGGCUUCAUUUGCAGUGAAACCGAGAUCUCCCCCACCCGCGUGUGCAAGAUGCUCUUCUCUGGUGAAUUGUGUCACCAGCGAUAGGCUCCGUUCGCCUACCGGUUUGACAGCCCCUGAGAUCUCGCUGGCGGGACAUGCAAUGCUGAUCCUUUGCCUCAGCAAUUUCUCAGCAUGGGAAGCACAGCCCCGACUCCAGUGUUAGCCGGACCAUCUCCCCUGCAUCUACCUGUCCAUCAGUGGUGACCCUACAUCUUUGAUGCUGGAUAUGAGGAGGUAUGGACCUCCCAUCUAUUUAACUCUUCUCUGUGGGCUCCUUUGGGGAAUAUCUAGCCUGCUUGUCUCCACCAUGAGCCCUGCUGGGAGCUGUGGUACCUAGGAACUGCUCAGCGCUGUGUUGCUUCUCGUGUCCCUAACCUCAUCCCUUUUCCAGGACACCUCUUGGCAGUGCCUGCUCAGGAAGAAGUAUCAGAAGAAAUUGUCUAGUGAAGACCCAGGUCUUGGCUGCUUGAUCCUUCUGAACACUUGCUGGUCUGUAUUCAUCUCACAGGGAAUAAUUGUACCUCAUGUACCCUUAGACCCCAGCCCAUUCAAAAAUCUUAGUUUGGCCUAAAUUUUCUGAAAGACUUGGUUGCAGGGGCAGCUUGGCCAUGGCCGGAGUGGGCUUUUUCCUGCUCUUGACCAAGAUGAUGAACUGAUGAAAUGAACUUUGGAGGAGCAGGUUAGUUACUCUUUCCAGCUGACCGUGCUCAUCCAUGAGCAUGUUGCAGCUGAGUCUAGUACGGUCCUUAGUGCACUAAAGGAGACUUUGGCAUGCAGGGGACAAAGUCCUGUCUCGGUGUCCAUGCAUUAAUGUGAAUGUUUAUUGCCCAAGAACAGUCGGAGCACAGAUGUGUCCUACUGAGUGGGUUCCAUGGCAGGAUGCAUCCGGGCAGCCCCUCUGUCAGCAUCCAUCUCGGGACUGUGGCCGCUGUCUGGUGACCUCCACGAACAUUUGUCCAAGACCAUCCUUUUAGGAUCAUGUCUCUCUGGGUUGGCAGUGAGGUCCUCCCAUUGAAUAUUUAGGCAGGCUGGUUCAGCUUCCUCACCUUACAGAAGUCUGUGUUGGCAGAGACUUACUCGGGCAGUCUGGAAACGUGCUGCUAGCGAUUGCUCUGGCUUCUCCCUCUCCGAUGUUAGGACUGUUGUGUCUAGGUGAGGACAGGCACAACUUUCAUAUCGGCAGCGGGAGUGGCACAAAACCCCUCCCUUGAGGCAAGAGCUCUCCCCGGGCUGGGACAGACCCACUUGUGAGCAUCCCGCUUCCACGAGGCGCUGAGGGACACGAUCAGCCCUCGGGCUGGGGUGAGAGAUGCAGUUCUCUGCCGCGGCUGCUGUGCACCACGCUCCCUGGGCUGAGAUCAGCCUCUUGGCAAGGGACUUCAACGGACGGUGCCAGGCAUUUUGCAGAAGUGAGCCCUGGCUCCCUGCCGAAUGCGUUUCUGAUCCUGUAGCGUGUAGAGAGUGGCCUCCCCAGCCCCUUCCCUAGUGAAGUUCCCUAGGACUCAUCUGAAAGGUGAGCUCUCGUCCUCAGAGACCCUGCCUGGCAAGGUAGCUCUGAGACCAGGCUCACUGAGUUUGUUGAUGAAGACUACCAGAUUUUUCCCGCAGAGAGGAUGGGGAGCAUCGCCCUCCUUGCACCUCACCACACGGGUGUGGGAUGUUCUUGCUGGCUCUAGAGAAGGUUCAGUCAACCUAAGCACUAAGUAGCCCAGUUCCUCUUCCCUGUGUUAAGCAAGCCUGCUCCCUCCCUUCACUCAUUUCUGGAUCCCAUCUAUUUUACGUCAUAUCUCAGAACUGAAAGAGUCUGACUUGUCCGUCCGUUCAGUUAAGGUCCCGUGUAUUCCACCCAGCACCCUUCUGCUGAAGGCGCUUUGUCACCUGUCCCACACGACUUGGCUUUGUGCACGUUAGCUUUUCCCUGUCUCAGGAUUCCUUAGAUGGACCUAAAUGUGAUGCUGACAGCCUUCACUGGAGCAACUUUUGAUUCUCUGGUAACCUGUCUGUUAUUCUGUUUAUCUGGUUUCUUAGCCAAGAGGUAGGAGAGAUCAAAGCUGCAUAAAAAGUCGGUCUUGUUUGUAAAUUUGAGCUGGGAGAUUGGCUUUCCUAAGCCUCGUACCUCUGCUACAAAAGCUUUGCUUGUUCUCGAGAAGGCUAUACUCUUUAUAUGGUUAUGGUUGUUGCUAUCUAUCUCAGGUACCUGUGGCACAGUGUCCCAGAGUGUCCAUACCUGCUGAUCAAGUAUGUCAAAUAAUACUCUGGUUACUGGUGAGAAACCUCCUUUCAAGAGGAGAGGUCAGAAUUAAUGCAGAACACAGUGGAGUGCUGUCUCCUUGGAGGUGCACCUGGAUGAUGCAUGGACAGGCUCCUGAAAACAUCUGGCAAGCCCCUGCCCUUGGUGAUUAAUGCUGGGAGCGAUAGUGAGACAGCAUGGAGACCUGGAUGGGCUACAGACAGCUUUAGGGAAGCCCCGUCACCUUUGAAAAUCUUCCAGUGGAUGUAUGAGACUGUGAGAGGUGUUUUAGCUGUGAAUUUUCUAAAAGCUUGGGCCACUUUCUCUUGGGAUGGGAACAAGGAGGGGAUGCUCUAGGUCUUCUGGCAGAGGGGGGUAUAGAUUUCAUAGCUUGGAGAACAGCUGUAAGAGCUGGGAAGGUGCUAAGGUAACGCUAUGGAAAAGGAGCUCCAGCGGCCACCAAAAGGCAUCGUGAUCAAACUGAACCAGUAUCACAACAGAUGGUAAGAAGUAGCAUUUUCAGCUUCGAUAGCAGACUGCAUCUGGGCAAGGUGCAAGAGGAAAUAGAAGCUCUCAGGGUAGGAAGAAAUAUGGUUAAUUGAUAUUGUUCAUGGCUGCAUCGUAGAACUGCUAGCUCACCAGUCUAACCCGUUGGGUGAAGGUGGAAUAGGCAAGAGCAAUUGUGAAUUGGGGUCGCAAGUUGUGCUAAAAAUCAUAUUCACUCUAGAGCUAACAGCCAGACAACAUGCUCUAACACGCAAUUUCAUCAAGGCAUUGAAGGGUCUUUUAUAUGCUCCUGAAUCCCCAAACAAAACACGGUGAUUUAUUCUGUAAGUACCUCUCUGCUUUAUGUGAAAAGGAAAAUUACGUUGUCGUGGGGGACUUUGGCUGGGGAUACCAAAGAAUAUGCUGUGCCGUGGAGAGUUUCUCAUCAACUUACAGAUGAUGGCAUGCCCAAGUAAGGCAAUGAUUUUAGAUGUCCUUAUGACAGAUGAAGACUGGGUUAGGAUUGGUGGUUGCCUAAAGACAAGGGAUCAACUGAGAAACAAAUCAAGACAACACCCAGGACAAAAAUGCCAUAACAGAGAACUGCAUGGUGUUAUGUAGCCUUUUCUUACAGUGAAAUCGUUUAGGGGAAGUAUUAAAAAAGUCUGAUUAAGUGGGAGAUCUUUGGAAAGAAGAGAGUUUUUUCCAGUUAUUCAAAAAGCUGUGAUUCAGUACGCAUGAGAAGAUAGCUUUCAGUAAACUACUUCCUUGAAUAAGUGGCCAUGUGACUAUAGUACUUAGAAAUGAGAAUAACUAAUAAAAAUAAUAAUAAAGCCUGA